AGUGAACGCUGGCGGUAGGCCUAACACAUGCAAGUCGAACGGCAGCACAGUAAGAGCUUGCUCUUACGGGUGGCGAGUGGCGGACGGGUGAGGAAUACAUCGGAAUCUACUUUUUCGUGGGGGAUAACGUAGGGAAACUUACGCUAAUACCGCAUACGACCUACGGGUGAAAGCAGGGGAUCUUCGGACCUUGCGCGAUUGAAUGAGCCGAUGUCGGAUUGGCUAGUUGGCGGGGUAAAGGCCCACUAAGGCGACGAUCCGUAGCUGGUCUGAGAGGAUGAUCGGCCGCACUGGAGCGUGAACACGGUCCAUGCUCCUACGAGAGGCAGCAGUGGGGAAUAUUGGACAAUGGGCGCAAGCCUGAUCCAGCCAUACCGCGUGGGUGAAGAAGGCCUUCGGGUUGUAAAGCCCUUUUGUUGGGAAAGAAAAGCAGCAGGUUAAUACCCCGCUGUUCUGACGGUACCCAAAGAAUAAGCACCGGCUAACUUCGUG
rnacentral:rRNA from 1 species